rnacentral:rRNA from 1 species
UACGGGGGGGGUAAGCGUUGUUCGGAAUUACUGGGCGUAAAGGGCUCGUAGGCGGCCAACUAAGUCAUACGUGAAAUCCCUCAGCUUAACUGGGGAACUGCGUGUGAUACUGGAUGGCUUGGAUUUGGGAGAGGGAUGCGGAAUUCCAGGUGUAGCGGUGAAAUGCGUAGAUAUCUGGAGGAACACCGGUGGCGAAGGCGGCAUCCUGGACCAAUAUUGACGCUGAGGAGCGAAAGCUAAGGGGAGCAAACGGGG